GACGAACGCUGGCGGCGUGCUUAACACACGCAAGUCGAACGGUGAUCUCGAGAGCUUGCUCUUGGGUGAUCAGUGGCGAACGGGUGAGUAACACGUGAGUAACCUGCCCCAGACUCUGGAAUAACCCCGGGAAACCGGAGCUAAUACCGGAUACGAAGUGGAGCCGCAUGGCUACUGCUUGGAAAGUUUUUUCGGUCUGGGAUGGACUCGCGGCCUAUCAGCUUGUUGGUGAGGUAAUGGCUCACCAAGGCGACGAAGGGUAGCCGGCCUGAGAGUGCGACCGGCCACAAUGGGACUGAGACACGGCCCAGACUCCUACGGGAGGCAGCAGUGGGGAAUAUUGCACAAUGGGCGAAAGCCUGAUGCAGCGACGCCGCGUGAGGGAUGAAGGCCUUCGGGUUGUAAACCUCUUUCAGCAGGGAAGAAGCGCAAGUGACGGUACCUGCAGAAGAAGCACCGGCUAACUACGUGCCAGCCGCCGCAGUAAUAC
rnacentral:rRNA from 1 species